rnacentral:tRNA from 1 species
UGUAGCUGGGUGUUUAGCAUGUUAUGUUUUGGUCAUAGCGGAAAUUUGUUAUUAGCUACAG